rnacentral:rRNA from 1 species
AUGGCCUCUGCACUAGGAGCCUCUCCAUGGCCUCCUACCCAUCCCCCCCACCACCAUAGGUGUACACAGAUGGUGGAUCCGUGCCGGAGAAGAGCAGCUCCAGUUAUGGUGGGGUGCAUCUGUGCCGAAGAUGAAGGAGGUCCGCUACCCGUCUUUGCCUCCUCGUUGCGUCCUUGUUGCUCCUCCUCCUCUCUCUCUCUCCGCACCUAG